rnacentral:rRNA from 1 species
AAUCAACGCUGGCGGCGUGCCUCAGACAUGCAAGUCGAACGAUUAAACUUCCCUUCGGGGAAGAUAUAAAUUGGCGCACGGGUGAGUAACACGUAUGUAAUGUACCUUUGGGUGGGGAAUAACUUAUGGAAACUUAAGCUAAUACCGCAUAAUGCAGCGUCUCCUUCGGGAGACAGUUGUUAAAGAUUUAUCGCCUAAAGAGCAGCCUGCGGCAGAUUAGCUAGUUGGUAAGGUAACGGCUUACCAAGGCUACGAUCUGUAUCCGAUCUGAGAGGGUGGUCGGACACACUGACACUGAGUAACGGGUCAGACUCCUACGGGAGGCAGCAGUCGGGAAUUUUGGGCAACGGGGGAAGGCCUGACCCAGCAACGCCGCGUGAAGGAUGAAGUCUGUAGAGAUGUAAACUUCGUAAGAAUAGGAAGAAUAAGUGACGGUACUAUUUGUAAGGUCCGGCUAACUACGUG